UACGUAGGGUGCAAGCGUUGUCCGGAAUUAUUGGGCGUAAAGAGCUCGUAGGCGGUCUGUCACGUCUGCUGUGAAAACUCGGGGCUUAACCCCGGGCCUGCAGUGGGUACGGGCAGACUAGAGUGCGGUAGGGGAGACUGGAAUUCCUGGUGUAGCGGUGAAAUGCGUAGAGAUCCGGAAGAACACCAAAGGCGAAGGCAGUAUCCUGGCUGGCUCCUGACGCUCAGGUGCGAAAGCUAGGGGAGCAAACAGG
rnacentral:rRNA from 1 species